rnacentral:rRNA from 1 species
AUUGAACGCUGGCGGCAGGCCUAACACAUGCAAGUCGAACGGUAACAGAAAGCAGCUUGCUGCUUUGCUGACGAGUGGCGGACGGGUGAGUAAUGUCUGGGAAACUGCCUGAUGGAGGGGGAUAACUACUGGAAACGGUAGCUAAUACCGCAUAACGUCGCAAGACCAAAGAGGGGGACCUUCGGGCCUCUUGCCAUCGGAUGUGCCCAGAUGGGAUUAGCUAGUAGGUGGGGUAAAGGCUCACCUAGGCGACGAUCCCUAGCUGGUCUGAGAGGAUGACCAGCCACACUGGAACUGAGACACGGUCCAGACUCCUACGGGAGGCAGCAGUGGGGAAUAUUGCACAAUGGGCGCAAGCCUGAUGCAGCCAUGCCGCGUGUAUGAAGAAGGCCUUCGGGUUGUAAAGUACUUUCAGCGGGGAGGAAGGGAGUAAAGUUAAUACCUUGGCUCAUUGACGUUACCCGCAGAAGAAGCACCGGCUAACUCCGUG